UAUAAAAGGAGAUUGACCAUUGCAUGUUUGAUCAAAAUAUUCAAAGGACUUACAAGCGCACGCAUUUCAAUCACAUCAUGACGAUGGUGAGGAGACUGUGUAUGCUGGUUCUAUUGGUUUUGUUUGUGGUCUCACUGACUGAUGCUUAUGUAAUAUAUAGAAGAUACUAUACACCAAGAUAUUACAGAUCAUAUGCUCCUAGACCCAUCAUUUAUACCGGCGAUCUUGAUGAUAUAGACCCAGUGUAUGUUAUAAAUGGUUAAUGGAUAACGAAGAUUCCACAGAAUAAAUAAGAAUUCAUUUUCAUGGAUCAUCUUGCCAAGUAUUCUAUGGUCUCCAUCACUGCACAGACUCAUUCAUCAUCUAGAUCUAGUCAUAUGUUAAAUUCAAGAUAUUUAUUUUUUGUAUUAAACAA